rnacentral:rRNA from 1 species
AUUGAACGCUGGCGGCAGGCCUAACACAUGCAAGUCGAGCGGUAGCACAGAGAGCUUGCUCUCGGGUGACGAGCGGCGGACGGGUGAGUAAUGUCUGGGAAACUGCCUGAUGGAGGUGGAUAACUACUGGAAACGGUAGCUAAUACCGCAUAACGUCGCAAGACCAAAGAGGGGGACCUUCGGGCCUCUUGCCAUCAGAUGUGCCCAGAUGGGAUUAGCUAGUAGGUGGGGUAAUGGCUCACCUAGGCGACGAUCCCUAGCUGGUCUGAGAGGACGACCAGCCACACUGGAACUGAGACACGGUCCAGACUCCUACGGGAGGCAGCAGUGGGGAAUAUUGCACAAUGGGCGCAAGCCUGAUGCAGCCAUGCCGCGUGUGUGAAGAAGGCCUUCGGGUUGUAAAGCACUUUCAGCGAGGAGGAAGGCGUUAAGGUUAAUAACCUUAGCGAUUGACGUUACUCGCAGAAGAAGCACCGGCUAACUCCGUGCCAGCCGCCGCAGUAA